rnacentral:misc_RNA from 1 species
CAAUGAAGUGUUCAAUGGCACUUUAAAUCCAUUACCCACCUUGUGUGCAUUGUCAGGAGGAAGAUCCCUUGGGAUUUUUCUCUUUUUCAUUCCACUCUUUUUUUUAACAUCAGUCUACAUCAAUUGAGAAUUAAAAAUCUCUAAUA